GACGAACGCUGGCGGCGUGCUUAACACAUGCAAGUCUAACGGAAAGGCCCUGCUUUUGUGGGGUGCUCGAGUGGCGAACGGGUGAGUAACACGUGAUUAACCUGCCCUUGACUUUGGGAUAACUUCAGGAAACUGGGGCUAAUACCGGAUAGGAGCUCCUGCUGCAUGGUGUGGGUUGGAAAGUUUCGGCGGUUGGGGAUGGACUCGCGGCUUAUCAGCUUGUUGGUGGGGUAGUUGCUUACCAAGGCUUUGACGGGUAGCCGGCCUGAGAGGGUGACCGGCCACAUUGGGAAUGAGAUACGGCCCAGACUCCUACGGGAGGCAGCAGUGGGGAAUAUUGCACAAUGGGCGGAAGCCUGAUGCAGCAACGCCGCGUGCGGGAUGACGGCCUUCGGGUUGUAAACCGCUUUCGCCUGUGACGAAGCGUGAGUGACGGUAAUGGGUAAAGAAGCACCGGCUAACUACGUG
rnacentral:rRNA from 1 species